UCCCUCCCAGCCCAGGCUACUCCACCUUGGGCCCCUACUCCCACCCCGCCCCCAUCACUUUCUGCAUGAAGAGACUGCAUUAAGAGUCACGUACAGUGCCGAGGGCUCAUUUAAACAUCUCAAAGUUCCUAUCAGGAAUCUGAGAACAUCCCUUACGAGCUAAAGGUUUGCAAUCCUUCAUCCAGACCUCAGCUCUGAAGGGAGCGGACCAUUUCAGAAACCCAAGGGAAGUCUAGGAGAUCCAGAACCCACUUUGACCCAGAGAAGAGACAUGUGGCCCAGACCAGGAAUUUUGCCUCCAAAUACAGAAUGGACACUGAGAACAUCACCCCCUCUGGCCAGUGACACCUGCCUAUUUCCAGGAAACUGUCUGAGGUCUGAACACCAGUGUCCCUGGAGGACUGAACAGAGAUGGAGAGAGAAGAAUCAGGGCUAACUCCUCUCCUGUGGUCCCCGCUGCCUAUGGAAGUCCUGACCUGACAGUCCAUUGUCUUCAUGACCUGGUCCCAAUUCACCCUCCUAGUUUUGUCUUCCUAAAUCCACCAAAGCCCAGCUUCAAAGUCAUCUCCUCCAGAAAACCUUCCUGGAGUAUCUUUUUUCCUCCAUACUCUCAUUGCUUGAGACAUUUGUCACUUCUUACCUCUUAUACAGCUAUCUCAUCUAUAUCUUGUC